AUGUCUGGGAAACUGCCUGAUGGAGGGGGAGUAACUACUGGAAACGGUAGCUAAUACCGCAUAACGUCGCAAGACCAAAGAGGGGGACCUCGGGCCUCUUGCCAUCGGAUGUGCCCAGAUGGGAUUAGCUAGUAGGUGGGGUAAAGGCUCACCUAGGCGACGAUCCCUAGCUGGUCUGAGAGGAUGACCAGCCACACUGGAACUGAGACACGGUCCAGACUCCUACGGGAGGCAGCAUG
rnacentral:rRNA from 1 species